CGACCAGCCACAUUGGGACUGAGACACGGCCCAGACUCCUACGGGAGGCAACAGUGGGGAAUUUUGGACAAUGGGCGCAAGCUUGAUCCAGCCAUGCCGCGUGCGGGAAUAAGGCCUUCGGGUUGUAAACCGCUUUUGUCAGGAAAGAAAAGGUUCUGGCUAAUACCUGGGACUCAUGACGGUACUUGAAGAAUAAGCACCGGCUAACUACGUGCCAGCAGCCGCGGUAAUACGUAGGGUGCAAGCGUUAAUCGGAAUUACUGGGCGUAAAGCGUGCGCAGGCGGUUAUGCAAGACAGAGGUGAAAUCCCCGGGCUCAACCUGGGAACUGCCUUUGUGACUGCAUAGCUAGAGUGCGGCAGAGGGGGAUGGAAUUCCGCGUGUAGCAGUGAAAUGCGUAGAUAUGCGGAGGAACACCGAUGGCGAAGGCAAUCCCCUGGGCCUGCACUGACGCUCAUGCACGAAAGCGUGGGGAGCAAACAGGAUUAGAUACCCUGAAAGUCCACGCCCUAAACGAUGUCAACUGGUUGUUGGGAGGGUUUCUUCUCAGUAACGUAGCUAACGCGUAAAGUUGACCCGCCUGGGAGUACGCCCGCAAGGUUGAAACUCAAAGGAAUUGACGGGGACCCGCACAAGCGGUGGAUGAUGUGGUUUAAUUCGAUGCAACGCGAAAAACCCUUACCUACCCUUGACAUGUCUGGAAUCAUAAAGAGAUUUGAGAGUGCUCGAAAGAGAGCCAGAACACAGGUGCUGCAUGGCCGUCGUCAGCUCGUGUCGUGAGAUGUUGGGUUAAGUCCCGCAACGAGCGCAACCCUUGUCAUUAGUUGCUACGAAAGGGCACUCUAAUGAGACUGCCGGUGACAAACCGGAGGAAGGUGGGGAUGACGUCAGGUCAUCAUGGCCCUUAUGGGUAGGGCUACACACGUCAUACAAUGGCCGGGACAGAGGGCUGCCAACCCGCGAGGGGGAGCUAAUCCCAGAAACCCGGUCGUAGUCCGGAUCGUAGUCUGCAACUCGACUGCGUGAAGUCGGAAUCGCUAGUAAUCGCGGAUCAGCUUGCCGCGGUGAAUACGUUCCCGGGUCUUGUACACACCGACCGUCACACCAUGGGAGCGGGUUCUGCCAGAAGUAGUUAGCCUAACCGCAAGGAGGGCGAUUACCACGGCAGGGUUCGUGACUGGGGUGAAGUCGUAACAAGGUAACC
rnacentral:rRNA from 1 species